rnacentral:rRNA from 1 species
UUGGAGGGCAAGUCUGGUGCCAGCAGCCGCGGUAAUUCCAGCUCCAAUAGCGUAUAUUAAAGUUGUUGCAGUUAAAAAGCUCGUAGUUGAAUUUCGGGGUCAGUAGGUUGGUCGUGCCACUGGUAUGCACUGGUCUCACUGAUUCCUCCUUCCUGAUGAACCGUAAUGCCAUUAAUUUGGUGUUGCGGGGAAUCUGGACUGUUACUUUGAAAAAAUUAGAGUGUUUAAAGCAGGCUAACGCUUGAAUACAUUAGCAUGGAAUAAUGAAAUAGGACGAUCGAUCCUAUUUUGUUGGUUUCUAGGAUUGACGUAAUGAUUAAUAGGGAUAGUUGGGGGCAUUAGUAUUCAAUUGUCAGAGGUGAAAUUCUUGGAUUUAUUGAAGACUAACUACUGCGAAAGCAUUUGCCAAGGAUGUUUUCAUUAAUCAAGAACGAAAGUUAGGGGAUCGAAGACGAUCAGAUACCGUCGUAGUCUUAACCAUAAACUAUGCCGACUAGGGAUCGGAUGAUGUUAAUUUUUUAAUGACUCAUUCGGCGCCUUACGGGAAA